rnacentral:rRNA from 1 species
CACUCCUACGGGAGGCAGCAGUGGGGAAUUUUGGACAAUGGGCGAAAGCCUGAUCCAGCAAUGCCGCGUGAGUGAAGAAGGCCUUCGGGUUGUAAAGCUCUUUUGUCAGGGAAGAAACGGUGAAAGCUAAUAUCUUUUGCUAAUGACGGUACCUGAAGAAUAAGCACCGGCUAACUACGUGCCAGCAGCCGCGGUAAUACGUAGGGUGCAAGCGUUAAUCGGAAUUACUGGGCGUAAAGCGUGCGCAGGCGGUUUUGUAAGUCUGAUGUGAAAUCCCCGGGCUCAACCUGGGAAUUGCAUUGGAGACUGCAAGGCUAGAAUCUGGCAGAGGGGGGUAGAAUUCCACGUGUAGCAGUGAAAUGCGUAGAUAUGUGGAGGAACACCGAUGGCGAAGGCAGCCCCCUGGGUCAAGAUUGACGCUCAUGCACGAAAGCGUGGGGAGCAAACAGGAUUAGAUACCCUUGUAGUCCCAUGAU